rnacentral:rRNA from 1 species
UCCUACGGGAGGCAGCAGUAGGGAAUCUUCCGCAAUGGGCGAAAGCCUGACGGAGCGACGCCGCGUGAGCGAAGAAGGCCUUCGGGUCGUAAAGCUCUGUUGUGAGGGACGAAGGAGCGCCGUUCGAAGAGGGCGGCGCGGUGACGGUACCUCACGAGAAAGCCCCGGCUAACUACGUGCCAGCAGCCGCGGUAAUAAAA